rnacentral:rRNA from 1 species
AUGCUUGAUUGAAGAAAAAAACAUGUUCUCUAUAAUUUGGUCCACUUGCUUAUGAAAUUGGUAUUGAUCUUACCGGUGGUCACCACAAGUGUUAAAAGAGUCUUUUCGGCAAUGAAUUUAGUGAAAAACAAGUUGAGAAAUAGUAUGGGUGAUGAUCUUGUGAACUAUUGCUUACUGGCACUCAUUGAGUGA